rnacentral:rRNA from 1 species
UACGGAGGGUGCAAGCGUUAUCCGGAUUCACUGGGUUUAAAGGGUGCGUAGGUGGGCUAGUAAGUCCGUGGUGAAAUCUCCAAGCUUAACUUGGAAACUGCCGUGGAUACUAUUAGUCUUGAAUAUUGUGGAGGUAAGCGGAAUAUGUCAUGUAGCGGUGAAAUGCGCAGAUAUCAGGAAGAACACCCGUGGCGAAGGCGGCUCUCUGGGACGGUACUGACGCUGAGACGCGAAAGCGUGGGGAGCGAACAGG